GAAGAGCAGAUGUUGUCCGUCCGACCGACGAGAACUAUGGGGCAAGAAAAUCGAAGAAAGAAGAAGAAAGAAGAAGAAGAAGAUAAAACCUAUCCUUGAGGACACAUUAGUCGCAUGUUUCUCUGCGUUCUCUUGGUUGCACAUGC
ensembl:ncRNA F14H12.16 ncRNA